rfam:Nippostrongylus brasiliensis genome assembly, scaffold: NBR_scaffold0001550
UGUCGGUGAUGUGAUUUCAAGACGGGACUUACAAGAGAGUGAUUACACUACGAAUUACUGAGACU